rnacentral:lncRNA from 1 species
GAGUCAGAAUUAAGAGUGUUGUCCCCUAUUCAUUAUGGGCAUGUUUAGUCAGGUGUAUAUUUUGACAUUACACAGAAAAACUAAACAGUGUCCAGAUACUAUAUAUGUCCUGAUACUGUACCCUAGACCUGCCAGAAUAAAGACUUUGAAGUAAUUUUCAAAGGGUGUCUGUUAGUAUUUUAUAAUAUACCACAAAUCCAUUUUAUGUUAGCUGUGAGGCUGUCAGAAAUAUGUUUUGUUUUUUCUCUGAUAGAUUGCUUGUUUGAUUUAAGAAUCUUGGCCUCCAGCCUACUUUUCCAGUAUGCCAGUCCCAUUGUUGACUGAUUUUCUUAACAUGUCCUUUAUGAUAAGGUAAAAGUUCUUCCUAAUUUUCUGUUAAUAUUGACUUUCCCAUUUUAAAGAUACACAUAAUAUCUUUAUAUUUGUCAAAAACUGAAAUGUUCUGUCUUCCUUCCUUCACUUUUGUUAAUAUUGACUUCUUCACAUAUUUCAAAAUCAUAUGUGGUAGUGUUGUAGUUAGGUUUCAUUUGCUGAAACUGAUGGAGAUCAAAGAUAGAACUUUUCACUAGGAAAAAAAUUCUCGAGCCGUAAAAUAUGGCGCAUUAGGACUUGUAGUAGGGGCAUUUAUCAAGAGGAAAGGACAUGAACUGUAGUUUAAUGGAAAGCGUGGAAUGUGCUCAUUUGGUUAUUUAACCUCUCAUGGUAUUUCAUACCGUAGUAAAUUAUGACUCCUGUGGCCUGUUAUGUCUGUGCCUGAAAGAGCCUGUAAAGUCUGACCCAUGUUUCUGUGUAUGUUUUCAAGUAGCAACUAGCUGACUUUUAUGUCUGAAACCAGUUCAGUAGAAUCUCACAUAUGAGGAAAUCAUUACUGUAGUUUUCAUCUGUUUUAGACUUUGAUUUUCAAAUCAAGUGUAACCUAGAAAUCUUCCAGGAUUAGUAAAGUUAGAUGAAGUUUCAGAAUAAAAAUGUAGAUUUGUGAUAUAACGCACAAUGGACCUUUCAAAGGGUGCUGCUGCUAAGUCGCUUCAGUCAUGUCCGACUCUGUGCGACCCC